AAGUCGUAACAAGGUUUCCGUAGGUGAACCUGCGGAAGGAUCAUUAACACGUAUCCAACGUUAAAACAACCCCGUGAACUUUCGUGAAGCAGCAAUCCCUGGUAAAUCAUUGUUGACCAGCUUUUGAGUCAGGGACCUCUGCAGAUUGUGAUAUUUUAUAGCUACGGUUGAGCGAUUGCAUCUAGUGACCUGGCAUCCCCAAGUAAUCAGUGUUCUGAAAGUGUCAUUGAUUGUGUAAGGAUGGCGCAGUCACGAUCGCUGUAGGCCCACACGGCCGGCGACCGGGUCACCGGGCUCUGCUCCUUUACGACAACUACAGUCUAACUUCGCCGCGCGUGAAAUUCGCACGGCACCAAAAACCGAACAACUGUUAACAAUGGAUAUCUUGGUUCUC
rnacentral:misc_RNA from 1 species